rnacentral:rRNA from 1 species
GCAUGCUUAACACAUGCAAGUCGAACGGUAGCAGACCUAGCUUGCUAGGUGCUGACGAGUGGCGGACGGGUGAGUAACGCGUGGGAAUCUGCCCAGUAGCGGGGGACAACUCGGGGAAACUCGAGCUAAUACCGCAUACGCCCUACGGGGAAAGGCUUCGGCCACUAUUGGAUGAGCCCGCGUCGGAUUAGCUUGUUGGUGGGGUAAUGGCCUACCAAGGCGACGAUCCGUAGCUGGUCUGAGAGGAUGAUCAGCCACACUGGGACUGAGACACGGCCCAGACUCCUACGGGAGGCAGCAGUGGGGAAUAUUGGACAAUGGGCGAAAGCCUGAUCCAGCAAUGCCGCGUGUGUGAAGAAGGCCUGCGGGUUGUAAAGCACUUUCAGUAGGGAAGAUUAUGACGGUACCUACAGAAGAAGCACCGGCUAACUCCGUG